rnacentral:rRNA from 1 species
GUCCUCUUGUUUAUAUUAUGAGGUCUGGUCUGCUCACUGAAAAUUUUAAAUAGCCGCGGUAUUUUGACCGUGCAAAGGUAGCAUAAUCAUUAGUCUUUUAAUUGAAGGCUGGAAUGAAUGGCUUGACGAGAAAUUAACUGUCUUUUAAUAAUUUAUAGAAUUUAACUUUUAAGUUAAAAGGCUUAAAUUUUAUUUUAGGACGAGAAGACCCUAUAGAGCUUAACAUAAAUAUUAUAUUUGGUUUUUAGUUAGUCUUUCCAUAUUUAGUGGUAAUGUUUUGUUGGGGUGACAUGGAGAAUAAAUAAACUUUUUAUUUUUAAAUCAUUAAUUUAUGUUUAUCUUGAUCCAUAAUUUAUGAUCAUAAGAUUAAGUUACCUUAGGGAUAACAGCG